rnacentral:rRNA from 1 species
UGGGAGCCCCACCACUAAGCCAGUGGUGAACUCCACAUACGCAUCCUUUGCUGAGGAUACGGUUAACGGAGCGAAAGCGACGUUCAACCGCAAAAGAAGCAGAGGGGGCUUAGUGGUGGGGUGACUGCGUACCUUUUGUAUAAUGGGUCAGCGACUUAUAUUCUGUAGCAAGGUUAACCGAAUAGGGGAGCCGGAGGGAAACCGAGUCUUAACCGGGCGUUAAGUUGCAGGGUAUAGACCCGAAACCCGGUGAUCUAGCCAUGGGCAGGUUGAAGGUUGGGUAACACUAACUGGAGGACCGAACCGACUAAUGUUGAAAAAUUAGCGGAUGACCUGUGGCUGGGGGUGAAAGGCCAAUCAAACCGGGAGAUAGCUGGUUCUCCCCGAAAGCUAUUUAGGUAGCGCCUCGUGAAUUCAUCUCCGGGGGUAGAGCACUGUUUCGGCUAGGGGGCCAUCCCGGCUUACCAACCCGAUGCAAACUGCGAAUACCGGAGAAUGUUAUCACGGGAGACACACGGCGGGUGCUAACGUCCGUCGUGAAGAGGGAAACAACCCAGACCGCCAGCUAAGGUCCCAAAGUCAUGGUUAAGUGGGAAACGAUGUGGGAAGGCCCAGACAGCCAGGAUGUUGGCUUAGAAGCAGCCAUCAUUUAAAGAAAGCGUAAUAGCUCACUGGUCGAGUCGGCCUGCGCGGAAGAUGUAACGGGGCUAAACCAUGCACCGAAGCUGCGGCAGCGAACGUAUCACUUAAAGCGAUUCAGCGGGUUACGAUUGACGGAGCGAAGCGACGUCAAAGCGUAUACAAAGUCGAGUCGGUUUAAGGAUACGUUCGUUGGGUAGGGGAGCGUUCUGUAAGCCUGUGAAGGUGGCCUGUGAGGGUUGCUGGAG